rnacentral:rRNA from 1 species
GUGGGGAAUUUUGGACAAUGGGCGCAAGCCUGAUCCAGCAAUGCCGCGUGCAGGAAGAAGGCCUUCGGGUUGUAAACUGCUUUUGUACGGAACGAAACGGUCCGGGUUAAUACCCUGGGCUAAUGACGGUACCGUAAGAAUAAGCACCGGCUAACUACGUGCCAGCAGCCGCGGUAAUACGUAGGGUGCAAGCGUUAAUCGGAAUUACUGGGGGUAAAGCGUGCGCAGGCGGUGCUGUAAGACAGGCGUGAAAUCCCCGGGCUCAACCUGGGAAUUGCGCUUGUGACUGCAGUGCUGGAGUGCGGCAGAGGGGGAUGGAAUUCCGCGUGUAGCAGUGAAAUGCGUAGAUAUGCGGAGGAACACCGAUGGCGAAGGCAAUCCCCUGGGCCUGCACUGACGCUCAUGCACGAAAGCGUGGGGAGCAAACAGGAUUAGAAACCCUGGUAGUCC